UGGCGGCGACCGGCGCACGGGUGAGUAACGCGUAUGCAACCCACCUAUCAGAGGGGAAUAACCCGGCGAAAGUCGGACUAAUACCGCAUAAAACAGGGACACCGCAUGGUGAUAUUUGUUAAAGAAAUUCGCUGAUAGAUGGGCAUGCGUUCCAUUAGGUAGUUGGUGAGGUAACGGCUCACCAAGCCGACGAUGGAUAGGGGAACUGAGAGGUUGGUCCCCCACACUGGUACUGAGACACGGACCAGACUCCUACGGGAGGCAGCAGUGAGGAAUAUUGGUCAAUGGGCGAGAGCCUGAACCAGCCAAGUCGCGUGAAGGAAGAAGGAUCUAUGGUUCGUAAACUUCUUUUGCAGGGGAAUAAAGUGCAGGACGUGUCCUGUUUUGUAUGUACCCUGAGAAUAAGGAUCGGCUAACUCCGUGCCAGCAGCCGCGGUAAUACGGAGGAUCCGAGCGUUAUCCGGAUUUAUUGGGUUUAAAGGGUGCGUAGGUGGUUUGAUAAGUCAGCGGUGAAAGUUUGCAGCUUAACUGUAAAAAUGCCGUUGAAACUGUCGGACUUGAGUGUAAAUGAGGUAGGCGGAAUGCGUGGUGUAGCGGUGAAAUGCUUAGAUAUCACGAAGAACUCCGAUUG
rnacentral:rRNA from 1 species